AUUGAACGCUGGCGGCAUGCCUUACACAUGCAAGUCGAACGGCAGCACGGGAGCAAUCCUGGUGGCGAGUGGCGAACGGGUGAGUAAUAUAUCGGAACGUGCCCAGUAGUGGGGAUAACUGCUCGAAAGAGCAGCUAAUACCGCAUACGACCUGAGGGUGAAAGGGGGGGAUCGCAAGACCUCUCGCUAUUGGAGCGGCCGAUAUCAGAUUAGCUAGUUGGUGGGGUAAAGGCCUACCAAGGCAACGAUCUGUAGUUGGUCUGAGAGGACGACGAGCCACACUGGGACUGAGAACCGGCCCAGACUCCGACGGGAGGCAGCAGUGGGGAAUUUUGGACAAUGGGCGCAAGCCUGAUCCAGCAAUGCCGCGUGCAGGAAGAAGGCCUUCGGGUUGUAAACUGCUUUUGGCAGGGAAGAAAUCCUCUAGGUUAAUACCCUUGGGGGGAUGACGGUACCUGAAGAAUAAGCACCGGCUAACUACGUGCCAGCCGCCGCAGUAACAC
rnacentral:rRNA from 1 species